rnacentral:rRNA from 1 species
CAGCCUGCAACUCGGCUGCACGAAGCCGGAAUCGCUAGUAAUCGCAGAUCAGCAUGCUGCGGUGAAUACGUUCCCGGGUCUUGUACACACCGCCCGUCACACCAUGGGAGCCGGGAAUGCCCGAAGUCAGCGGCCCAACCGAAAGGAGGGAGCUGCCGAAGGCAGGCCUGGUGACUGGGGUGAAGUCGUAACAAGGUAGC